UACGAAGGGGGCGAGCGUUGUUCGGAUUUACUGGGCGUAAAGGGCGCGUAGGCGGCGGGUCAAGUCGAGUGUGAAAGCCCCGGGCUCAACCUGGGAAUUGCGCUCGAGACUGGUCUGCUUGAGUUCGGGAGAGGAGAGUGGAAUUCCCAGUGUAGAGGUGAAAUUCGUAGAUAUUGGGAAGAACACCGGUGGCGAAGGCGGCUUCCUGGACCGGUUCUGACACUGAGGAGCGAAAGCGUGGGGAGCGAUCCGG
rnacentral:rRNA from 1 species